GCACAACCUACUACAACCACUACAGCUCCAUUCCGUAGGGUUUUGUCAAGUUGCAGUUCCAAUAGCCAGUGUCCUGCUCAGGCUUCCUGCCGUGUUCGUUAUCCUGACGGACUAUUGUGUAUCUGUACCGAAGGAUUUGUGGCGUCAACCAAUUUGGCUGGUUGUGAAAGAGCCGCCUAUAUUAACGACGUGUGUAUAACGCAGUGUGCUGGCUUGUUUAUGGUGUGCAACGCUUUGUUACGCCGGUGCGAAUGUUUAUCGGGCUAUGUCAUGGCUGGGGACAACCAAAACUGCGUUUUGCCGAGAAGAGGUCUGCUGGGAGAAGCAUGCGGAGAUGGUUGUGUUUUUGUCACGGAGCAAGAAUGUGUGAAUGGUGUUUGCACGUGUAUGUCGAAUUUAAGACCUUUGACAACGGCAGAGAUUCAGGCCUUCAUUAAUCCCCAACGUCAGUGUAUAAGCUGGACAUACACACUAGAUGGAUCAAGUCCACCAACCACAACAACAAUGGCACCACCACCAACUACAACAGCUGCGCCUACUGUGUCAUCUCCAACAGAACAACCUACUACAACCACUACAGCUCCAUUUCGUAGGGUUUU